UGAGAAAUAGUGUAAGUAACACAUUAGAUUUUGAGUCUGUUAAUGCCAGUGCAACUCUUGCUUUCUCAU
rnacentral:tRNA from 1 species